rnacentral:rRNA from 1 species
CUACCAGACUCCUACGGGAGGCAGCAGUGGGGAAUAUUGCACAAUGGGGGAAACCCUGAUGCAGCGACGCCGCGUGAGUGAAGAAGUAUCUCGGUAUGUAAAGCUCUAUCAGCAGGAAAGAUAAUGACGGUACCUGACUAAGAAGCCCCGGCUAACUACGUGCCAGCAGCCGCGGUAAUACGUAGGGGGCAAGCGUUAUCCGGAUUUACUGGGUGUAAAGGGAGCGUAGACGGCAGCGCAAGUCUGGAGUGAAAUGCCGGGGCCCAACCCCGGAACUGCUCUGGAAACUAUUUGACUGGAGUGCAGGAGAGGUAAGCGGAAUUCCUAGUGUAGCGGUGAAAUGCGUAGAUAUUAGGAGGAACACCAGUGGCGAAGGCGGCUUGCUGGGCUUUUACUGACGCUGAGGCUCGAAAGUGUGGGGAGCAAACAGGAUUAGAUACCCUGGUA